rnacentral:ribozyme from 13 species
AAGAAAAAGAGAAAGAAAAAGAGAAAGAGAAAGAAAAGAAAAAAGAGAAAGAAGAGAAUGAAGAAGGAUUGUUGUAAUUUGUUGGUGGUGAUGAUGUUUGUGGUUCUUGUAUUCUUCUUGGGGUUGAUUGUUCUUGUUGUUCUUGUUAAU